AUGCCCCAGCACUCGACGGGGGACAAGCCCCUCGUCUUCCCCGGCCUACCCUCGGGCACCGACAGCGAGUGUGACCACACACCCUCCAGCAGGCGGGUGUCCCUCAGUGCACCCCUGAGCCAGCCACUGUGCCAGCCCGAGAAGCGUGGGCCCCAGGCAGCCCAGGAGGUGUGCUACGUGGCAGCUGGACAGCCCGGGGAGGCUUGCGGCUGGCGGGCCUUUGCCCCUGCGUGCCUGCAGGCCUUCAACACACCGCAGGGCUUCCUGCUGUUCCUGUGCGUGGCCUCCUUCCUGCAGGGCAUGACGGUGAAUGGCUUCAUCAACACCGUUAUCACGUCCAUUGAGCGGCGCUAUGACCUUCACAGCUACCAAAGCGGCCUCAUCGCCAGCUCCUAUGACGUGGCUGCGUGCCUCUGCCUCACCUUCGUCAGCUACUUUGGAGGCCAAGGCCACAAGCCCCGCUGGUUGGGCUGGGGCGUGCUGGUCAUGGGCACUGGCUCGCUGGUCUUCGCGCUGCCGCACUUCACUGCCGGCCGCUAUGAGGUGCAGGUGGAUGAAGUCGUGGGGACCUGCUGGGCCAACCACAGCUCAACAUGCAGGGAUGGCGCCUCCGGCCUGUCCAGCUACCGGCUGGUCUUCAUGCUGGGCCAGUUCCUGCAUGGCAUGGGUGCCACACCGCUCUACACACUGGGCGUCACCUACCUGGAUGAGAACGUCAAGUCCAGCUACUCACCGGUCUACAUUGCCACCUUCUACACCGCGGCCAUCCUUGGCCCCGCAGCUGGCUACCUGGUGGGCGGCGCCCUGCUGAACAUUUACACCGAUAUCAGCCAACAGACGGAGCUGACCACCGAGAGCCCACUGUGGGUGGGCGCCUGGUGGGUUGGCUUCCUGGGCGCUGGGGCUGCUGCCUUCCUCGUCGCUGUCCCCAUCCUCGGCUACCCACGGCAGCUGCCAGGCUCCCAGCGCUAUGUGGUCAUGAAAGCAUCUGAAACAUACCAGCUGAAGGACAGUAGCCACAAGGUGACCAGCAACCCUGACUUCGGGAAAACCAUCAGAGACCUGCCUCUCUCCAUCUGGCUCCUCCUAAAGAACCCCACGUUCAUCCUGCUCUGCCUGGCCGGGGCCACCGAGGCCACGCUCAUCGCCGGCAUGUCCACGUUCGGGCCCAAGUUCAUCGAGUCGCAAUUCAGCCUCAGCGCCUCAGAAGCCGCCACCUUGUUUGGGUACCUGGUGGUGCCAGCGGGAGGUGGAGGCACGUUCCUGGGUGGAUUCUUUGUGAACAAGUUCAAACUCCGAGGCUCCGGGAUCAUCAAGUUCUGCCUGCUCUGCACCCUGGUCAGCCUGCUGGCCUCCUUCAUCUUCCUCAUGCACUGCCCCGGGGUUCCCAUGGCAGGUGUGACCGCCGGCUACAACAGGAGCCUCCUGCCUGAAGGGCACCUGGAGCUGAUGGCUGCCUGCAACACUCACUGCGGCUGCCAGACAGAGCACUACAGCCCCGUGUGCGGCUCCGAUGGCCUCAUGUACUACUCGCCGUGCUAUGCGGGCUGCUUGGAGGUGGCCGUGUCUGGCCCUGGCGGCCAGAAGGUGUACCGAGACUGUAGCUGUAUCCCUCAGAAUUUUUCCUCUGGUUUUGGCCAUGCUACCGCAGGGAAAUGCACUUCAACUUGUCAGAGAAAGCCCCUCCUUCUGGUUUUCAUAUUCGUUGUAAUUGUCUUUACCUUCCUCAGCAGCAUUCCUGCACUAACAGCGACUUUACGGUGCGUCUGUGAUCAGCAGAGAUCUUUUGCACUGGGAAUCCAGUGGAUCGUGGUUAGAACUCUAGGCAGCAUCCCGGGGCCCAUUGCCUUCGGCUGGGUGAUCGACAAGGCAUGUCUGCUCUGGCAAGACCAGUGCGGCCAGCAGGGCUCCUGCUUUGUGUACCAGAAUUCGACCAUGAGCUGGUACCUGCUCAUCGCAGGGGUGGGAUACAAGGUCCUGGGCUCCAUAUUCUUUGCCAUUGCCUGCUUUCUGUACAAGAGCCCAUUGGGGUCUUCUGAUGGCCUGGAGGCUUCUCUGCCCAGCCAGUCCUCGGCCUCUGACAACCCCUCAGAUCUCCGGAUCCAGAGUGACAUCUGA
rnacentral:lncRNA from 1 species